rnacentral:lncRNA from 1 species
GCUGUAGGAAGAAUAGGGAAGCACUUUUCAUCUUGCUGCAUUACAACGGCUUGUUAAUGUUGUUGUCUGUGAUAGAAUGUUUGAUACUACCUGAUGUGAUCUGAUUUAAGGCUGGCAUUCUACUUCUCCUCAGCACUGGAUUUUUCCCUGGAUCUCCUAACACCAUGACAUCUGAGGCAAAGAGUCUGUUGCAGGAUGAAAUAGGAUCUGGCUAAAUGUCCUUGCUACUGACAUCACUGAUGAAAUAAUGCUUCUGCAUUCUGCCUUCUGUGACAUAAUGACCCAAGGUGAGCUUCAGUGAGGGAUCUUAGUCUAGAGGUUUAACUGCACGUGCUGGGAGGUUUAAAAGCUACCAUACCUCCAUCAAGUGCCUCUGGAGGAAAUGAUAUAAUAGUAGACAGUAUUAGAUGCAAAUUAGAGUGGGGUUAAAAAGGUGAAGAUCAUCUAUGAGUGUAUGGUAUAGAACUACUGGGAUGCCUGCCAGAGCCCAAGAAGGGAACUCAGUGUGCCAUCAAAUUCCAGAUGAGAGCCCCAUUUUCAACUGAAAUUCUGUGGAAUGUCUUCUGGUGAUAUGAAUGACCCCUCUGUGUGAGCCCCAAACACAUCACAGGCAUACUGCGUACAGAUGGUACAGCUUUGCUUCAAGCAUCGUACCCAUAGUCCUACGACACUGCUGUCUGAAAGUUGCACUGGAAACAAGGUACUCAGUUCUGCUUUCAUCUUGAACAUCCAAAAUCAAUCAUUU